rnacentral:rRNA from 1 species
GAAUUCGCCCUUAGAGUUUGAUCCUGGCUCAGGACGAACGCUGGCGGCGUGCUUAACACAUGCAAGUCGAACGGAGCACCCCUGAAGGAGUUUUCGGACAACGGAUGGGAAUGCUUAGUGGCGGACUGGUGAGUAACGCGUGAGGAACCUGCCUUCCAGAGGGGGACAACAGUUGGAAACGACUGCUAAUACCGCAUGAUGCGUUGGAGCCGCAUGACUCCGACGUCAAAGAUUUAUCGCUGGAAGAUGGCCUCGCGUCUGAUUAGCUAGUUGGUGAGGUAACGGCCCACCAAGGCGACGAUCAGUAGCCGGACUGAGAGGUUGGCCGGCCACAUUGGGACUGAGAUACGGCCCAGACUCCUACGGGAGGCAGCAGUGGGGAAUAUUGGGCAAUGGACGCAAGUCUGACCCAGCAACGCCGCGUGAAGGAAGAAGGCUUUCGGGUUGUAAACUUCUUUUAAGGGGGAAGAGCAGAAGACGGUACCCCUUGAAUAAGCCACGGCUAACUACGUGCCAGCAGCCGCGGUAAUACGUAGGUGGCAAGCGUUGUCCGGAUUUACUGGGUGUAAAGGGCGUGCAGCCGGAGAGACAAGUCAGAUGUGAAAUCCACGGGCUCAACCCGUGAACUGCAUUUGAAACUGUUUCCCUUGAGUGUCGGAGAGGUAAUCGGAAUUCCUUGUGUAGCGGUGAAAUGCGUAGAUAUAAGGAAGAACACCAGUGGCGAAGGCGGAUUACUGGACGAUAACUGACGGUGAGGCGCGAAAGCGUGGGGAGCAAACACGAUUAGAUACCCUGGUAGUCCACGCUCUAAACGAU